UGGAAGUGGACGAUUUGCGCCGAUCUGCGCCGCGACAAGAAUGAGUUCAGCAAUUCAAUUUGCGCCUAAUAUCUAGAUGCACAAAUGCCCAAUAUGUGGCCCUAAUUUCAGAAUCUCGCGUGAAACAGAUGGAGCUGCUAAAUUUUUUUGAAAUCAAAGCAGUAAAAUAAACUUCCAAUUUGCGAAUCGAAACAUGUAAAUAUGGGGGAACCCUAUCUCUCAAAUCCGAAAGGAAAUCACAAAAAAUAGGAAAGAAAGAAUAUGAAUCGGUGAAUCCAAACCCAUUUUUAAAGUUUGGGUUCUUACCGUUCUGCGUCAAUUCUUCGAUCUGCUUCUUGGUCGUCGCGAGCUCUACAAAUUAGCAAAGGUGAAGAAAUACGCAGCUGAAUUUUUGACCUAGAAACGAGUUUUGAAUAAAAAAGUCGGAGGGUAAUUAAGGCAGCGUAAAUCUUUUCCUGAAGUCUGGAAGUGGUAUCAGAGGGGGGAGUCGCGAGACGUUUUAAGGGGUGAACAGUACUUUUUCACCGGGCCAUGCCUUUUUU
rnacentral:lncRNA from 1 species